rnacentral:rRNA from 1 species
CCUACGGGCGGCAGCAGUGGGGAAUAUUGGACAAUGGGGGGAACCCUGAUCCAGCCAUGCCGCGUGUGUGAAGAAGGCCCUCGGGUUGUAAAGCACUUUCAGUGGGGAAGAACGCCUGGUGGUUAAUACCCAUCAGGAAAGACAUCACUCACAGAAGAAGCACCGGCUAACUCCGUGCCAGCAGCCGCGGUAAUACGGAGGGUGCGAGCGUUAAUCGGAAUUACUGGGCGUAAAGCGCGCGUAGGUGGCUUGAUAAGCCGGUUGUGAAAGCCCCGGGCUCAACCUGGGAACGGCAUCCGGAACUGUUAAGCUUGAGUGCAGGAGAGGAAGGUAGAAUUCCCGGUGUAGCGGUGAAAUGCGUAGAGAUCGGGAGGAAUACCAGUGGCGAAGGCGGCCUUCUGGACUGACACUGACACUGAGGUGCGAAAGCGUGGGUAGCAAACAGGAUUAGAUACCCGUGUAGUC